rnacentral:lncRNA from 1 species
CCCCCACCCACCCUGGCUCCUCAGACGCCUCCCCUUGAGGGGCUUCCCCGGGUGUCCCCUCAGCCAAACCCUCCCUGAGUGUCUCCCCAGCCAACCCCGGCUCCCCCCGAGUGUCUCCUCGACCGCCCCCGCUCCCCUUGAGUGUGUCCUCAUCCGCCCCCUCUUCCCCCCGAGUGUCUCCUCAGCCAACCCCGCUCCCUCUGAGUGUCUCCUCAUCCGCCCCCUCUUCUCCCCGAGUGUCCCCUCAUCCACCCCCUCUUCUUCCCCGAGUGUCCCCUCAGCCAAACCCUCUUCCCCGUGAGUGUGUCCUCAUCCGCCCCCUCUUCUCCCCGAGUGUCCCCUCAUCCACCCCCUCUUCUUCCCCGAGUGUCCCCUCAGCCAAACCCUCUUCCCCGUGAGUGUCUCCUCAUCCGCCCCCUCUUCUCCCCGAGUGUCCCCUCAUCCGCCCCCUCUUCUCCCCUGUCUCCUCAUCCGCCCCCUCUUCUUCCCCCCGAGUGUCUCCUCAUGUGCCCCCUCUUCUCCCCGAGUGUCCCCUCAUCCGCCCCCUCUUCUUCCCCGAGUGUCCCCUCAGCCAAACCCUCUUCCCCGUGAGUGUGUCCUCAUCCGCCCCCUCUUCUUCCCCCCGAGUGUCUCCUCAGCCAACCCCGCUCCCUCUGAGUGUCCCCUCAGCCGCCCCCUCUUCUCCCCGAGUGUCCCCUCAUCUGCCCCCUCUUCUUCCCCCCCGAGUGUCUCCUCAGCCAACCCCGCCCCCCCCGAGUGUCCCCUCAUCCGCCCCCUCUUCUUCCCCCCCGAGUGUCUCCUCAGCCAACCCCGCCCCCUCUGAGUGUCCCCUCAUCCGCCCCCUCUUCUUCCCCCCCGAGUGUCCCCUCAGCCAAACCCUCUUCCCCAUGAAUGUCCCCUCAGCCGCCUUUUCUUCCCCCCCGAGUGUCUCCUCAGCCAACCCCGCUCCCUCUGAGUGUCCCCUCAUCCGCCCCCUCUUCUUCCCCCCUCGUGUCUCCUCAUGUGCCCCCGUUUCCCCCCGAGUGUCCCCUCAUCCAUCCCUCCCGGGUCCCCCCGCGUGUCUCCUCAGGCGCCCCCGAGUGUGUCCCCUCCUCCUCCUCCUCCUCCUCCUCCUCCUCCUCCCCCUCCCUCCUCUCCCCGCCCCGCGCGCCCCCGCGCGCUCCCCUCCCCCCCGCCCCCCCCGCGCGCGCGAGGCCCUCGCGGGCCGAGGCGGGUCGGGCGCGGGGGGCGGGGGGUCGGGGGGGGGGAGGGGCGGCCGUGGCGCGGGGGCGCGCCGGCGUCGGGGGCGCGCGCGCGCGGGCGGAGCGCGCGUCCGCGGCGCCGUGACUUGGCGGGUCCGCAGCGGCUGCAGCGGGAGGAGCCGGAGUCGGAGCCGGAGGAGGAGGAGGAGGAGGAGGAGGAGGCAACGCUCCCCGGCCCGGCCCCGCCGCCGCCGCCGCCGCCAUGCGGAGGGCCCGGGCUCGGGGCGGGGGCCGCCGGCUGCCGGCGCUCUGCCGGCUGCCGGCGCUCUGCUGCCUCCUCGGCGCCGUGCGGGCGGCGGCGGCGGCGGCGGAGGAGGAGAAGGACGGGGCGGGGGCGGCGGCCUUCGCCGGACAGGCCGAGCCAUGGACACGUGGCCCAGAAGCCGGGGACCCCACUGGCGCCUGAGCCAUCUGGGCAGUCACCAGUGCCCGGCAUGGAACCGGGCAGUCGUCGUGGGAGCAAGAACAUGUCCAUCCCAUGAACUGAUAGUCAUCGUGGACCAAACCCCGAGGGGUGUGUGUGGGUCUGUGAGCCGUAUGGGUCUUUCCAAGAACUGCAGCUCAUUGAGGUGUGAUUUCUCUGUUCGGAAACCUGAUUCUCUCCUUCCCCGCGGGCUUCCUCCGACUAAAUGCCAUCCCAGACUGUACUUACUUGCCAGCCCUAGGAAAGAGGCUCUCUAGCCAGUCAGGGCCGGGGUCACUUCUGGAACCUCCCCUUGGGUUCAGCUGGGGCCCGGGCCGGUCCCGUGGCCCAGGUGCCGUUGGGAAGUGAUGCCAUCUCGCUUCCCCGCUGAGUUCCUUCAGAACAUCUGGGCGGGUGCCAACUGGUCAUCGCAGUGAUUUAUUCACAUCUGGCUUCUUACUUGGGCCUCAGAUACGGCCUGUGGGUUCACCACAGUUCGAUCCACUCUCAGACCUGUCAGCCGCUACUUGGGUGUGGAACCUCCCCUCCCCCACCCUGUUCCCCUCCUUCCCCUCGUCUCCCUCCUUCUCCCCCUCUUUCCUUUUUCCUCCUUUCUCUUUCCUCCUGCAGACAUUUGUAGCCACGAUCAUCUCGCAGACCCCCGCUGCUGGUCCCUUUACGGGAUCCUGGUCACCGCCAGACCCCAGUUAGGCCCUCCCAGUGUCCCAGGUACACUGACCUGCCAGCAGCAGUGAGCCGUGGGUGGGAGCAGGGCAGUGUAGCGCUUCUUUGAUUCAAGUGGAGAGAUAGUGUUAUCUUGGACGCCCCACCCGACGAAACCCCUGGCAAUGGCGGUUCAGAGUAGAAAGAUCCAGGACUUGAAGAUCGGGCUCAGGAAGGCUGAGUCUCCCUCUGCUUUCUUCCUUCACGAGGACCACGGCUUCCUUUCAGCUUCCUAGAUCCCCUUCCUGCCAGACCCCAGCCAGUGACCGCCACCUCCCCGGCCUCUCCUGGGGGCGGUAAACACUGCCUAGCUGGAGUUGCUGUUUCUUGGAACCGGAGAAGGACCGGGAGGAGGAGGAGUUAGAGAGCUCUUCUGACCCACGGGGGAGGGAGACUGAGCUCCUUGGACAAUGAGGCCAGCAGAAACUGAGCCACCCCUCAGGAUUUGACCUGGAUAAUAAGCCCGGGGAAGGGGCAGAUGAGCUGCGAGGCCUUGGCGGAACCAGGGCUGGGCCCGGGCCUGCGCUCCCGGGCAGGUUGGAGCCAGUUCUCUAGGCCCCAGGGAGGCCCGUCUGUCACUUUCAGCUGGGGAACAGCAGAGCUGUGACGGUUUGGAAGGAGUGGGUGGGCUUUCCCCAGCACAGCCCCGUCUUCAUGUGGGAAGAAAGGGGCUUUCUCCUCUCCUCUUCUUUUUCCUCACUGCUUUCUCAUGGAGGUGGGCCAUGAACAGGGCUCCUGCCACGCCCUUCCUCCCCAGCCCACCACAACAGCUAGCACAGAGCUGACCCAACCCGUCAGAGUGUGAGGACUGUGGCUGCCAGCCCCAUCUUCUUGGGCCACUGCAUGACCAAGAUUUCUCUCCGGGGACAAUCCAUAAAGUCCCCGCACUUUUUUUUUUCCUGUUUUGAUUUUUUUUUUUCAUGUCCUUCACUUGGGGCAACCUUGUGGGAUCUUUCUCUCAGGUUGAGACCCCUCAGGAAGAGAGACUGACACGGACCGGUCAAGUUCUUGCCUUUUGAGAUUUCCAAGUGCUGGAGCCGGGGCCUCCCUGGUCGGCUCCUGCCCCGGUCAGAGAAGGAGCUACGAUCUAGCCAGGUGAUGUUUUCAGUGAGGCAGAAGGAAGAAGCUCGUAAGCCAGGGGACCAGGGUCCGCGGCUGGCACGGAGAUCCGCUUCUCUCUUCCCUUCCAUCCCCUGCGCCCGUAAGGCUGACGGUUGGAGCCGUGGCACCGGGGACUCCACCCGCCGCUCCCCUACCCCCCCCCGUUUCCACGGCACAGUAAAGUGGUGAGCCGGACCUGGGAUUCGGAGGUGUCCUCCUACAUCGAGGCAAAGCUCAUGCCAGUGUCGCCAGUGCACCGAUGGAUAAACCAAAACGAAGCACACAGUCAUGAAGUGGCCGAUGCCCGGUCACCUGAACGGAAGCCGUAGCCGAGACCCCUGCUGUGACCGUCCACCUUUAAGAUCUCUUCAGCGGUGCCACCCUGGUGGGCCCGUGGAAGGACAGAGGCAAUGCCCUUUUGCACCAGACCGGUCCUCCCUGCCCACGGCUCUGUCUCUCACAACGGCACCAGAGGAUGCUUGGAGGGAGAGAGCGAGGGAUGCCUUCCUGGAUCGAUCGAUCAGUCGUAUUUAUUGAGUGCUGACCGUGUGCCCUUUCCCUCGAACGAUCGGCUACGGUUUCCCGUCGAAGACCCACCCGACCCCUUCUUGACCCCGUGGAUGGUUUCCGACAGGACACUUUUCUGUGUGAGCCUAUUCUGGGCUCUCCCCACCCACUGGAUGGAACAUUUCCUCAAGCUUGCUGCGAACCUCCAACCCGCACACUCUGGGGAGGGCUGCCGGUGAGCAUAAAAAGGCUUGUCCCAUCCACGUCUCGCUUCUUUUUUUGAUUUUAAUGGUAUUUGUUAAGCGCCUACUUUGUGCCAGGUGCUGUCUAGGCGCUGGGGUAGAUAGAAGCUAAUCAGAUUGGACCCAAUCCAUGUGAGCCCACAUGGGGCUCACAGUCUUAAUCCCCAUUUUCAGAUGAGGUAACUGAAGCACAGAGAAGUGAGGUGACUUGCACAAGAUUAUACAGCAGACAAGUGGCGGGACUGGGAUUAGAACUCAGAUCCUUCUGACUCCCAGGCCCAAGCUCUAUUGAUUAGACCACACUGCUUUUCUGAGCCUAUUGUCACCUCCAGUUAUUGUCACCGUGCCACACAGGCGUCCUGAUUUUCUCGGGCUCCCUCUCCCCCGGGAUGCUGCUCCACCCACCCAUCGUCCCGGCGGGCUCUUCCCCUUCUUGGCCGUGUCCUUCCUUCUUUGUUGUCCUUCCUGAGAUACGCUGCAUAGAAUGGCAUGCUCUGGACCAAGAACUCCGCUUCUGGGUUUGGUUCGGACCUCGUUUCUUUGGAGUGAACCUCAACUGGUGCCCUGGUAGCGUAGAUGGUGUGGAGAUUAUCUCUGCAGACUCAAUGGGACGUUAGUCAACCCUAAAUCAUAAUGAGGCAGCAUCGGGGGAGGACAUCCGUUGUGUGUCCUCGGUGCCUGUUGUGUGCACAGCGCCGUACCUCGGCUCUUGGGAGAGGACAGUAGAAAUACUAGAUGUGUUUUUUGCACUCAAGGAGUUUACCCUCUAGUUGGGAAAGCAGACGGAAAGACAAAUCAGGAUGGGAGAAAGGAAUGGAAGGUGCCUAGGUGCUCUGGGGGCUAUGGGGAAGGGGGUGGGUGCACAAACACUUAAAUAAUGCAGAAAUGCUCAAGUGGCAGUUUGGGGAAUAGAUCUUGAGGUGAUUGGCGAUGAAUCAGGGCAGGCUUUCUGAGGACGUGUGAUGUCUUGAGGAUUUGGAAGAGGGGAGCACCCUGGCCGGCCAGCUUUGAAGGGAGAGGGUGGGUAGAGGCCCGUGAUAAAAAUGAGGAUGUUUGGCAUUGUAAUUCCGGAGGGGUUAGGGCACUAUGCUGGUCUAUCAAGAGGCCCAAAUUGCUCACAAAGCUGUGCUGCGUGUCAUAAUUUCCAUAAACUGGUGAAUCCCAUCGUGUCUUCUAAUGAAUACCUGUGGCUACAGGAUCUCCUCACCUGCAGGGGCUCUGAGUCCCCACACUUAUUGCUGACCUGCCAUCUCGCCCUGGGCUCUCUGACUGCCCUGCUUCACUCUUUGGUGAGUCUCGCCCCACCCAGAGCCCCAGGAGCUGGUGGGCCCAGCUGGAACACGCUGUAACAGCGGCACCGUCGUGGUUGUCAUUUUUUCUGAAACUGAGCGGCAUAAGUUCAGCGGUUAAGAGUAUAUCAAUCACUCUCUCCACCUCCAAAGCCUUAUUGAAGGCACCUCUCCUUCAAGAGGCCUUCUCUGACUAAGCCCUCAUUCCCUUCUCUCCCACUCCCUUCUGCAUCGCCCUUACAUUUGGGUUUUCUCCCUUUAUCCACACCCCCCUCAGCCCCACAGCACUUUUGUACAGAUCCGGAAUUUAUUUGUAUCAAUGUCAAUCUCCCCCUAGACUGCAGGCUCCAUGUGGGCAGGGAACGUGUUACCAGCUCUUAGAGUGUACUCUCCCAAGCACCUAGCAUCGUGCUUCGCACAAAGUGCUCAGUAAAUAUGAUUGAUUGAUUGAUUGAUUGAAGAGUUCAGGUCUUCCAAGGUAAGGCAGUAGUGGUUUCCUCGCCCGGCCCACUCCGUCAGGAACCCGUGGGUUGUUCCGCUACUGCCUUAGAAGGCUUAUGCCAAAAUCGUAGCUCCCCUGCCCCUCUUUACCAGCUGUGGAUGUCUUUGGGCCCUGGGACCUCUGGGACGGGGGUGGGG